GAGACCCCUUGGAUUCAAGGAGGAUUCAGAACUGCAGGUAACUACGCUCAGAGAGGUGCCAAGCAUGUGCACUCACCCCUACCCUCAGCCCUCAUCCAACACCACUAACGCUGGAGCUAAGCAGGGCACCUGCAGAACCCACUCCAGAGAGGCCAAGAAGAAAGAGAAGGCAGCAAGACGCCAAGAAGAUUCCCACUUUAUUCUGUUCCAGGGAUUAUCCUCUUCCUAAGUGAAACUCGAAAGAACCAAGAACUGUAUAACAAGUGCACACAAGUAUACACACAUGUAUACACACAUGCACACACACGCACAAAACGGCCAUACAGAUUUCUAUAACACUGUUGGAAGGCAAAUGAGAAGGGGGUUUCACAAGCUGAAAAGUGGUUCUAAGAGGGGCAGAAAACUCCUGAGGGACAAAUUAAACGGAAUUAGACCUGGAGUUUGAGGAACUUCUGAGGGGUGUAUUUCCCCUUAAGUAUGAGCAGAGGUGCUUCAGGGACAGAGGGAGCUCUAAGGGAAGCACCAGCCACAGGGCCCUGGGAAGUUGCCAACUCCUUCCUAAGCCAAAUCCCCCACCCCACCGGAAGCUGGGUCUCCUGAGGGGCUACGGUCACACAGUCUCCUGAAUCACCACGCGGACAUUUCCAGUUCUUCUUGCUUUGUCUCUGUGACUGGUCACGUCCUGUCUUUCUGACGUUCGCCCACUCCUGCCGGGCUGGGAGCAGACUGACAGCAGGCAGCAGUACACGCUGGGGAGCACCACAGUCUUCACGAGCAAUCCCCUCUGGGGAUUCCUGCCACAGAGUACUUCGUAAGCUUCACAUGAAUUUCUCUAUAAGUACAUAUACAUGUAGGCAGUAGGGAUUCACUUCCCUCUUACUCACCGUGUCGUUUUUAUUGUCUCAGUUAGCCUCACAGUCAACAGUACUCCAAAAGCAUUAAACAGAAAAUUCUAAAACUAA